UACAGAGGGUGCGAGCGUUGUCCGGAAUCACUGGGCGUAAAGGGCGCGUAGGCGGCCUGCUAAGUAGAGGGUGAAAUCCUGCGGCUCAACCGCAGGGCUGCCUUCUAAACUGUCAGGCUGGAGCACGGUAGAGGCAGAUGGCAUUCCCGGUGUAGCGGUGGAAUGCGUAGAGAUCGGGAAGAACACCAGUGGCGAAGGCGGUCUGCUGGGCCGUUGCUGACGCUGAGGCGCGACAGCGUGGGGAGCAAACAGG
rnacentral:rRNA from 1 species